CUCGAUAUCACGUUUUGGCUGCCCAGA
rnacentral:sRNA from 1 species